AAUGUAAUCACGAUUACAUUACAAUUUUGAUUACAUCAUAUCAAACAUAGCCUUAGUUCUUUUGGUUAGUAAUAAAAUUUAAUAAUUUAUAAAUUCAUAUGAUUAAUAAUUAAAAAUUAUAUGAUCAUAAUGGAAAAUCAGUUAUUUCAAUUAUAAUUUUUCAAAAUAUCAAUUUGAUAACCAAACAUCAAAUUCUACAAAAUACUAACCAAACAUAAACCAAAACUAAAACAUUAGCACCAACAUAAUCAAAUUUCAUCAGUUCAAUUAUAUUUUUUGUUAAGUAAGCCCCACCAGUUCCACUCAUAUGUCAAAUUUCCAAGAAUUUGGUGGGCCUAUAUUGAUAAAUUGCAAGUAACAAAUUAGAGAGAGAGAGGGAGAGAGCUAAUACCUUUUAAGGAAAUCCAAACUCUUC
rnacentral:misc_RNA from 1 species